UAGGGAAUCUUCGGCAAUGGACGAAAGUCUGACCGAGCAACGCCGCGUGAGUGAAGAAGGUUUUCGGAUCGUAAAGCUCUGUUGUAAGAGAAGAACGGGUGUGAGAGUGGAAAGUUCACACUGUGACGGUAUCUUACCAGAAAGGGACGGCUAACUACGUGCCAGCAGCCGCGGUAAUACGUAGGUCCCGAGCGUUGUCCGGAUUUAUUGGGCGUAAAGCGAGCGCAGGCGGUUAGAUAAGUCUGAAGUUAAAGGCUGUAGCUUAACCAUAGUACGCUUUGGAAACUGUUUAACUUGAGUGCAGAAGGGGAGAGUGGAAUUCCAUGUGUAGCGGUGAAAUGCGUAGAUAUAUGGAGGAACACCGGUGGCGAAAGCGGCUCUCUGGUCUGUAACUGACGCUGAGGCUCGAAAGCGUGGGGAGCGAACAGGAUUAGAUACCCUGGUAGUCCACGCCGUANACGAUGAGUGCUAGGUGUUAGGCCCUUUCCGGGGCUUAGUGCCGCAGCUAACGCAUUAAGCACUCCGCCUGGGGAGUACGACCGCAAGGUUG
rnacentral:rRNA from 1 species